CCUACGGGUGGCAGCAGUGGGGAAUAUUGGACAAUGGGCGAAAGCCUGAUCCAGCCAUGCCGCGUGUGUGAAGAAGGCCUUCGGGUUGUAAAGCACUUUCAGUGGGGAAGAAAGCCUUGGGGCUAAUACCCUCGAGGAAGGACAUCACCCACAGAAGAAGCACCGGCUAACUCCGUGCCAGCAGCCGCGGUAAUACGGAGGGUGCGAGCGUUAAUCGGAAUUACUGGGCGUAAAGCGCGCGUAGGCGGUCUGAUAAGCCGGUUGUGAAAGCCCCGGGCUCAACCUGGGAACGGCAUCCGGAACUGUCAGGCUGGAGUGCGGGAGAGGAAGGUAGAAUUCCCGGUGUAGCGGUGAAAUGCGUAGAGACCGGGAGGAAUACCAGUGGCGAGGGCGGCCUUCUGGACUGACACUGACGCUGAGGUGCGAAAGCGGGGGUAGCAAACAGGAUUAGAUACCCUUGUAGUC
rnacentral:rRNA from 1 species